CCACGGCGUGCGCAGAGCAAGGGACACUGAGAAAACCUCCAACCCCAAGGCAACGGGUGCAGAAGCGGAGAAGGCCCCGCACCGCCAAGAAAGAAAGCCAGGCAGUGGAGACCAGAUGGCACGUGCUGGGGUCCCCUAGACACUGGGUCAGCGCCCUCAGUACUCAGACCCACCUGGAGCCGGGACCCCAUCUUCCAUUUGCCCUAGCCAGAGCAGUCCCCAGCCAGGGCCACCCAACUGGCACAAACUGCUCUUUGUCCAGACCCCCUUGUGCGCCCACACCACAGAGAAUAUCGGCCCCGCGGCUGCCCUCUGCUAGUGCCUCCCAGCUCCAUGCCGUGGCGCUUGGUGCUGGGCCGCUGAGGGGCUCCAGGCUCUUACCUCUCGGCCGAGUAGUGCUCAGGCGCCUUCCUCCCGUUGUAGCCUCGGGCCAAGGACCCCAGCAACAGGAUCACGAUGCAGGCAACACGGAGCAACAGUCCAGCCCACAUGACUGGCAGCAGCGGUCCUGGACUCCAGUGGUCUCAGGCCCCCCCGCACCAGGGAAGGGGCUGCCGACCUUGUCCCUCCUCCUAGAAGUGAUCCAAUCUCCCCAACAGCUGGCCAGAGGAAGAGGACGCCGAGAAGAGGGCUGGGGUUUGGGGGAGGACUGCCUCGGCAGACGGGGGUGGGGGGUGGGGGGGUCCUUGCACCUAGGAGAGAAACACACAAAAGGAGCGCCGCCCGCCGGUGCCUCUCCGGGAGGCGUGGAGCCCGGGGCGGGAGCAAAGAUCAGGGACCCCGAGGGCGGGGUUUCACCCUCGGCCCACACCCCCAGCCUGGGUUUGGGAGUCACCUUCCACAGAAUGACUGAGGGUUUCAGAUCAAAACCUAGGUCGGAAAGACACUUCAGGAACAAGGUUUUUGGGUUUCCGUGGAACCCAAUACAUCUGUAUUCUCAGGUGAGACUUGUGGACACUCAAUCCCAGGACCCUGAGUCUCCUGAGCCUAGGCAGUUUUGACUCUCCCCAAGGCGACCAACAAAGUUGGUUAAUCUGCUCCCCAUCCAAAGGGAACUCCAGUGGGAAAUUUAGUCACGCAGUCAAUAACCUUGGUUCCCACAGUCUAAUCUCUGCUUCAUUCCCUGAGAUACAUCAGAAGCCACCUCCCUGCAACUAUCUUCCAUUUGACACGACAUGCAGUCAGGAAAGAAGUCUUUCAUAUUGAUCACAUUUGGGACCUUCAGAGAUAAAGGGACAUCCAAGCUCAGAGAACUGCCUUUGUUUUGCGUGUGUAUAUAAACUGGAAACUUUACAGGAGGAGAACAGCAGGAGAAAACUAAACUGAUGCAGGAAAGAACAUAGUGGAGAGUUCACUUCGCCCUCAGAUCUAAGUCUCGCGCGUUGCUCCAUGCUCAACCCCAGUUCUCCUCCUCACCUCUGCCUCUGAAAGGAACAGAAGUGGAUGUGGAACCUUGGUGGAAUGAGUUUGACGCUGCAUGAGGAUGGAGUGGUAACGAUCUAUACUAAGGACCAGAACCUGAGUAGAACUGGAGGAACCCAAACAGCUCAAUACUGCAAGGACUCCAGAUUCCAAUUUCAAGACAGACCCCUGAUAGCAAUCAAGGCAGUUUGUGGUGGAAGGCAUUAUUGAGAGCCACAAAGGGCUACUGGCCCCGUGAAUUCUAGGAGAAAAACCUGGAGUAAUCAAGUAUCCAAGAAUGACACCUGUCUACAAGGCAUUAUGGAGAGCCACAAAGGGCUACUGGCCCUGUGAAUUCUAGGAGAAAAACCUGGAGUAAUCAAGUAUCCAGGAAUGACACCUGUCUACAAGGCCUAGCAUGAACAUAGCACAGCUCACCUGAAGGUUUGCCACAACCUCCUGCAUCUUGGGGCGGCUGAUAUCUAGGAAACUCUCAAUCAGGUCACCAUCGAUGAAGCCUGUGGCUGGUUCUGUCUUCCGCUCAGUGUGAAAGGAUCUCCAGGUGGACAGGUGAGUUAAAGAAUGUAGCUCAUCUGCAAAUACCCCUGCUCUUACUCAUUGCCACCUCUGAGCAAGAGGGAGUCAGAAGUGGAAUAGGAAACAAUCUGUUUUUACUAAAACUAUACUGCUUUUGGACAGUUUUGGAAAGGAAAAAAAAUGUAAAAAUUAUUGCUAAAUCCAUUUAGGGUUACCUUAAAAAAGUUAUGGCAAAGCCCAGACAAAACUGGAUGGUCUUGAAAAGUGUUGCAUGUGAAUUUGAUGUCCAUAGCAUCCAACCUAGUCUAACCUCAAGAUCCUUGAAUAAACUAAUACUUAGGGAGAGAACAGGCUAUCUGAAUGUGAGCAAAACACCGAGACAGUACCCUCCCUGAGUCAGCCACAUAGGCAGAAGAAGCUUUUCCAUGUCUUGCCUGGGAGGACCUAAACUGCUCCUGCAUAGGAAGGAAUUCUGGUGUCCCUAGAUGGCUGAUCCUUCAGUUUCUGGAGUUUCAGUUUUUUUACUCUCCCCUGUUCUUCUGAUCCCUCAAAAGAUGUGCUCCUACAGUGAUCUGAGCUCUCUUUAAGGUAGACCUUGUAGAGGAACUCAAUAUAACUGUAUAUUCCAAGAUGAACCAUCACAGCUUACUGUGAUUCACUGUGGGGAUCCACUAUACCACCACUCCCUUUACUAUUGUAUGCACCUGAAAAUUUUUACACACAAAAACUACAAAGAUAGGCUGAGGAGACAGUUUAGUCAGUAAGGUGCUUGCUGCACAAACAUGAGGACCUCGAUCUGACACCUAGUAAAAAGCUCCACAUGGGGAACAUGCUUAUAAUCCCAGCACUGGGGAAGCAAAGACAGGAGGGCCACUGGGGCUCACUGCUUAACCAAUCUAUCCUACACAGUGAGCUCCAGAGUUCAGUAGGAGACAAUGUCCCAAAAACCAUGGUAGAAACCUCCCUAUGCAUACAUAACGUUAAAAACAAAAACAACCCUGUUCUGUGCAAAAAACCUAGUAAAACGUUUCCGGAAACAGCUAUGAUAAACUCAGCUCUCUGCAUGUGCUGGAAUGUGCUUCCCAGCAGACAAUUCUCUGGGCAGGAAGGAUAUAAGGAGUGUUCGAUCUUGCCCACACUUUUGAUGACCUUAUUGAGUCGGUUCUGCAUGUCCAACAGGAGGUUAUACCAGCUCUCUGACAGUGAGGUCACCAGCCCUGAAGAAAGAAGGAGGCAGUGAGGUAUAGAGCACUUCAGAGCCUAGACAAACCAGGGACAAGCUUGCUGCAGUUGAGUGUGCCCUACAGGAAUUACCUUACCUAUCAUGCCGUUGACUGUGCCAAAGAGCACCGAACCCUGUGUAGGGGUAGAAGUCUCGCCCAGAUUCUGCAUAACUAGGGAGCCAUGGCAGAACACAUUGACAAACUCGCCCAGGUGGAAGAGACCAACCUCCUGCAGGUGCUGCCGCUCCUCAUCAGUGGUGGCAGCACUGAAAGACAUGAGAUGUCACUUUCUGAACCCAUCUCCCUAAGCAGGCCUCAACACAGGACCAUGUUUGACAAGAUACUAUGUACUGAAUAUCCUGGGAAAAACUAUCCUGGGAAAACCAUUUGGAGGGCAGUCUACAAAGCCUCUGAGUCUUAGAAAGGAAAUUCUAACUAUCAAGGGUCACACGUAAGCCCCAUAUAGCACCCAACUUGCUCAGCCCAACAGACCCAGAGGCCCAGUCCUAACCAUGCUCCUGCCAAGGACACACACCUGUCCUUCUGACACACAAACAAGUUAAAGGCAUUUUCAGCUCCCAGGAAAUUGUCAUCAUCCAAGAUUUCCACUGCACUCAUCCAGUUGGGAUUAAAAUCUCGGGCAAUCUGAAAACAGAAACAGUAAGUAUAGUCUCCAGUGUGCGUGGAACCCAGUUCUGAGAUUCAUUAAGCUUUUGGUCAGAAGCCAAGGUCUACCUGCAGAAGGUCCAGUCCUGUGUUUAAUGAUGACCACUUUAGAGAUUACCUCUCAGUCCUAUCCCCUUCUCCCCUCCUCCCCCCCACCCUAAAGCUGGCCAACACAGGCCAUUGGCUAUAAUUUCCCAAAGAUGGAGCCUAUUUGAUUUCAGGAUCAGCAAGGUGGGGGAAGGAUACUGAAUGUGGUUGAGGGAGGACCUUCAUGACUGGACUUGGCCAUGCUUUUGACACUCAACACUGGCAAGGAGUCAUUGUACGCAAGAAGUCUGAGCUCAAGUCCUGGACUACCUCUUCAAAGUUUCCUUCCAUGGGCUUGUAGGCAAGUAGCAGCACUGAGCGCAUGAGGUCGCCCACCAGGAUGAAGUCACCCUUGGUCUUCAGGUAGAGGGCCAUGAUGUUGUUGUAGUGGUUACACUCAGUGCGGAGCUCCUUCUCUGUGGUCCACUCAUAGAGCCGCACCUGGGAAGACACACGUAUAAGCCUGGGAGCCCAGCCCCGACUCAAUCAUCCACUCCCUACAGAGCAGGGUAGGUUGGAAAACAGUAUAUGGUUUAUGAGUGAACAGUUAUUUCAGUACAUAUACUGCUGAAAUAGGAAAACUGGGUG